rnacentral:rRNA from 1 species
UCGAGAAUCUUUCGCAAUGGGCGAAAGCCUGACGAAGCGACGCUGUGUGAAUGAUGAAGGCCUUCGGGUUGUAAAGUUCUUUCGCAUAGGAACAAGGGAAGCGUGUGAAUAACAUGCUGACUUGAGGGUAUUAUGUAAAGAAGCACCGGCUAACUCCGUGCCAGCAGCUGCGGUAAUACGGAGGGUGCAAGCAUUAAUCGGAUUUAUUGGGCGUAAAGGGCGCGUAGGCGGGUUUUUAAGUCAGAUGUGAAAUUCCGAAGCUCAACUUCGGAGCUGCAUUUGAAACUGGAGAUCUUGAGGAUGGGCGGAGAAAAUGGAAUUCCACGUGUAGCGGUGAAAUGCGUAGAUAUGUGGAAGAACACCGGUGGCGAAAGCGAUUUUCUAGCUUAUAACUGACGCUGAGGCGCGAGAGCAAGGGGAGCAAACA